rnacentral:rRNA from 1 species
UGCGAAGGUCCCAAGCGUUGUUCGGAAUUACUGGGCGUAAAGGGAGCGUAGGCGGCGUGGUAAGUCAGAUGUGAAAUCCCGGGGCUCAACCCCGGAACUGCAUCCGAUACUGCCAUGCUAGAGGAUUGGAGAGGUAGCUGGAAUUCUUGGUGUAGCAGUGAAAUGCGUAGAGAUCAAGAGGAACACUCGUGGCGAAAGCGAGCUACUGGACAAUUCCUGACGCUGAGGCUCGAAGGCUAGGGUAGCGAAAGGG